AAAAGUAGUCCACUUUCACGUAGGGUUUAAUAGUGUUGGUAGUGUCUCUGCUUUCUGCUUCUGCUUGCACAAACCUAGCUCUCUCCCGUCUCUCUGUACAUAGUACAAAGACGAAGGAUAAACGAGAAUCGGGCUUUUCCUUGGAGCAAUGGAAAACAUAGUUAUAACCGGUACAGAGAGAAAGAUCGAGUUCCAUCCCGCUAGAAAAUCGUUUACUGGGUUGGGAAGUAGCGGUGCUAGUGGCGAUUUUCAGACUGGGAAGAAAAUAGACGGGUUGGAUUUCAUGGAAAAUUGGCUUGAUCCCGAGCUCAGUUUUGGGAUUACUUUCAGGAAAAUUG
rnacentral:misc_RNA from 1 species